rnacentral:rRNA from 1 species
GGGCCCGCACAAGCGGUGGAGUAUGUGGUUUAAUUCGACGCAACGCGCAGAACCUUACCCGGCCUUGACAUCCUUGGAAUCCUUCCGAAAAGAAGGAGUGUCCCUCACGGGGAAGCCAAGUGACAGGUGCUGCAUGGCUGUCGUCAGCUCGUGUCGUGAGAUGUUCGGUUAAGUCCGGCAACGAGCGCAACCCCUGUCGUUAGUUGCCAUCAAUUCGGUUGGGCACUCUAGCGAGGACUCCCGGUGUUAAGCCGGCGGAAGAUGGGAUGACGUCAAGUCCUCAUGGCCCUUAUGGUCGGGGCUACACACGUGCUACAAUGGUCGGGUACAGAAAGGCAGCCACUAUGCGAAUAGGAGCUAAUCUUUAAAACCGAUCUC